rnacentral:rRNA from 1 species
GAGUUUGAUCAUGGCUCAGAACGAACGCUGGCGGCGUACUUAACACAUGCAAGUCGAACGAGAAAGGGGGCUUCGGUCCCUGAGUACAGUGGCGAACGGGUGCGUAACACGUAAGUAAUCUACCCUAGACUCUGGGAUAACUUCUCGAAAGGGGAGCUAAUACCGGAUAGAUCCCAUCCCUAUAAGGGGAGGGGGGAAAGCGGGCCUCUCGAAGAAGCUUGUGGUUUAGGAUGAGCUUGCGGCCCAUUAGCUAGUUGGUGGGGUAAUGGCCUACCAAGGCUGCGAUGGGUAGCUGGUCUGAGAGGAUGAUCAGCCACACUGGCACUGAGACACGGGCCAGACUCCUACGGGAGGCAGCAGUGGGGAAUUUUGCGCAAUGGGCGAAAGCCUGACGCAGUAACGCCGCGUGGAGGAUGAAGGCCCUCGGGUUGUAAACUCCUGACAGGGGGAAAGAUGCAGCCUUGGUUAAUACCCUUGGUUGCAUGACGGUACCCCCAAAGGAAGCCCCGGCUAAUUCCGUGCCAGCAGCCGCGGUAAUACGGAAGGGGCAAGCGUUGUUCGGAAUCAUUGGGCGUAAAGGGCGCGUAGGCGGUCUCGUAUGUCCGCUGU